rnacentral:lncRNA from 10 species
CUAGAAACCAAUAAUGCAGGGAAAACUGGAAAAUUCAUCAAUAUGUGGAAAUUAAAGAACACAGUCUACAAUCAUCACUGAGUCAAAGAAGAAAUUACAAGGGAAAUUAUAAAAUACCUUGGGACAAAUGACAAUAAAAAUACAGAUACCAAAACUUAUAGGAUACCAUAGAAAAAGUUCUGAGAAGGAAAUAUAUAGCUGUGAACACCAACAUUCCAAAAGAAGAUCUCAGACUUCAAGUCAUUCGGAACCAAGCAACAAAGAACAGGAUUCCUGUGUGUUGGGAAAUAAACAUGGUGAACUUUAUGAUAAUUCAGCUCAUUGUCUGCAGAAAGCUUUGAGGACAUAAAAAAAAGCGUAGGAAUGAAGGUAGAGUCUGCUGAACUCUGAGUAGAGUUGAUACAACCGGGAGUCUAGGAAGGACAAGUGUUUAUAAGGCAUAGUACCAGAAAUGUGAGAGCUGUACACAGUUCCACAACUGCUGAACGUCCCUCUCAAAUCUUCAACUGAGUUGAGAUCAGUACAGGCAUAUGAAGGAAUUAUCCAAGGCCAGAGAAAGAGCUACUACUAUGGAAGUAUUAGAGAUAGCAGUUCCUGGAGCCGAUACCAAGCUGAUGAUAGUUCUUUUUCCUUCUAGCCAUAGAGAAAAACCUCAUUAUUCACAGGGUGUGAGGUAGAGGUCUCAACAAAAUUUUGCCUCAGUAGUGGGGCAAAAUUAGUUCUAGAGAUAAUGCUGCUCUACUCUUGCCUAAUAAAGCUUAAAAGCAAGAACUGAAAUGAUCAAACUGUUCUUAAGUAACUUAACUGCAUCACAGAAAAAAUUUUAAGAAUGUUUAUAGAAAUUUUAAAAUAUCACUGUAUUACUAAAAAUUUUAUAAUACACACAAAGUAUUAUAAAAUUCACAUCUGGAAAAAAAUAAUAUUACCAGGCAUGGAUGAAGCUGGAAAAUAUUAUGCAUAAAGAGGAGAAACAUCAAUCCAUACAAACAGGCCCAGAGGUGACAGAGAUGAUUGAAUUUGUAGAAAGUUAAUUUAGUCUUUUAUAAAUGUAUUCCAUAUGUUCAAGAAGGUAGAACAAAGAGGAACAAUUAAUCCUAUAAGCAGAUAUGAAAAUCAUCUAAAAAUGACCCAAAUCAAAUUUCUGCAGAGGAAAAGAGUAACAUCUGAAACUCAAAAUACAAUGGAUGGAAUUAAAAGCAGAUUAGAUAUUGCAGAAGAAAAAAAGUAAUGAAGUUAAAAUGUGGCAAUAGAAACUUUCCAAAAUUAAAUAGAGAAAGUAAAUAUAAAAAAGAAUCAAAAGCAUCAGUGAGCUGUGGAACAACUGUGAGUGGCAUAUUAUAAUUAAAAUCUCCUAACAGAGGAAAGACAAAUAGUGACUGAACAAAUAUUUGAAUAAAUAAUGGCUGAAAAUUUUCCAAACAUAUAAAAACUAUAUACCAAUAGAUUGAAUAAUAUCAAUGAACUCCAAGCACAAUAAAAAUGAAGAAAACUAGAGAAAGGCAUAUUGUGGUCAAAUGGCUUAGAAACAAAGAUAAAGGUAAAUAUUUAAAAAUAUCCAGAGAAGGCAGAAAAAUUAUGUACAGAGAAACAAACAUAAGAAUGAUAGCAGACUUCUUGCCCAAAACAAUGCAAGCCAGAAGAAGGCAAAGCGUCACUAAAGAACUAUAAAAAACAAACAAAAACAAUGAAAGUCUAAUUAGAAUUCUACUACAACAAAAGUAACUUUUAAAAAGGAUUGUGAAAUACUGUUUUGAAACAUACAAUAGCUGUAAAAGUUCAAAACCAGCAAACAUAUACUACAUGAAUUACAAAAUCAAGUUCUGCAGGCUAAGUAGGAAAAUGAUACCAGAAGGAAAUAUGGAAGGGCACUGGAAAUAGUAACUAUUGCUCAUCUGAAUGGCCCCAUCAGACCUGCUGCCCUCUGCCUUCAACUCAAGGCUUGAGAAACCUUGUGGAGACCUCUGCUGUCUUGAUGCCUCUCUCUCUGGAUCUUGCUCCAUUUGUGUUCCUGAUUUCCUUUGUUCUUGAGAUCUAUAGAUAUCCUUCUCAUCACUGUCUUUCUCACUCAUCCCACAGAACUUCUUUUGCUUCUUGCAUAGGCAGAUUUUUAUACCUUAAAUAACAAAGGGCUUAAGAAUUGGGGAUACAAAAUCCAGAAAGACUUACAGUUUUACACUCAUCCACAUUUCUUUCCCCAAAGGAAAAUAGCAGAACUGACAAAUAGAUUACAUUCCUUGAAUGACAUAGGGUGGGAAGCUAAAUAAAGGUGGAAAUAGAUUAGUAUCUGAAAAUACAGUCAUAGUAUAGCAGACACUGUCAGAACCUGUCAUAUCCCAUGGACUCUAUCAUUUCAAAGUACUCUGGCUAUCUUUCAAUUACCGAUCUGAUAUCCAUGUCUCUGUAACAGGACUUUUCUGGAAGCUUGAAAGGUCAUGCUUCCCAUACCUGAAGGCCAGAAAUGCUGGAAAAUUAACCUAAUCCCAUCCCUUCAGCCUUCAAUAACUCUUGAGCAGUGGUAUAAAAUAAUCCCCAAAAUAAAAUAUCAACACUGUAUAAGGGAUUUAAAUAAGACACAGUCUCAUAAUGUAAAAUUAAAAAUGCCUAGGAUGCAAUCCAAGUUUAUUCAGCAUCUGUAGAACCAGGAAAAAUCUCAACUCUCAUGGGAUAAGAUAACUAACAGAUGCCAAUGUAGAGAUGACGCAAAUAUUGGAAUUAUGUAACAGAGACAUUAAUCAGUGAUCAUUAAAAUGCCCUAAGCAGCAAGGAGUAUUUUGAAAACAAAUGAUCAAGCAUCAGCACAAAAUACAGUAGCUAUAGAACCAAAUGACAUAUGUAGAAUGAAUAAUUAAAUUAAAAACAACAAUAAAAUAAGUCCUCACUGGACUUUUAGUAGGAGAACGAAGAUGACAGAGGAAAUAAUCAAUUAAAUUAAAGAUAGAUCAAUAAAAGUUAUCCAAUUUAUUUUAUUUUAUAUUUAUUUAUUUGUUUAUUUGUUUGUUUAUUUAUUUUGAGAUGGAG